GGCUAGGACCCAACAAACUAUUUUAUAACUUAGAAGAGGUAUGCCGUAAUCCAAGCUAUAAAAUAUUUGAAGGUAGGUGAAUGACGAUUCACCAAUUUCCACCAAGAUAAACGAAAUGUAUUAUUAGGUUUUAAUUGGUUUUGAAACUCCUAGAUCUUUGAGAUUCAUUGAACUUUUCAAAGGCAUGUUUCAAUCUCGAGUGUGCCCUUCAGGUUUUGUGACUGGGAUGCCGAGGAUCACAAAACAAGGUGUGAAGUAACCAUGCAAAUCACUUGGUACCCUUAAUAAAUUACCCCUCAAUCGAUGUGCCGGUUAACCACACACGCUCCAUCGAUACUAUGAUAAAUAUUAAGUCACCCUUUACCUACCUUGUUAAGUCCAAGUUAGUGUGCCGGUUAACCACACACGCUCCACUAACGACUUAGACAAAGUGUAAAGUGUAAUUUCAUGGAUUAGCACCUUAUUCACAUUUUUCCUAAGUAACUAAGAUUGGGUAUUAUUAAGAGUUUAGUUACUUAGUAUUAUCAUUAAUACUUUUAAUGAAGGGAGAAUUCUAGUCCUGUCAAACCCGUUCGGCUAACGACCCUCCACCAGUCAAGCAAGCGGUGGGUGAGAGUGGACACCCAUUAAGUUGCCAUUUUAUAGGCAACAACCUUAUACCCACCUUAUAGACCGGCUUCGUGAAUGAGGCGUACUAGCGGUAAGACUGACUUUACUCUUAUACAUAUAUAUAUUAUUAACUUAUAAUAUUAUAAAGUAUAAGGGUUGAAUUUUAACUUUUAAAAUUCUAAGGGCUAACUUGGAAUUAAAGUAUUCAUACGUGAAAACUUUUCAAAUUCCAAAACUUGAGGGCAAGUUUUGAAACUAUUCAAAACUAAUUAAUUCCAUAACUUAUGUGUUUAAAGUAGUUUUAAUCCAAAAACUCUUCAAGUUCCAUAACUUGAGGACAAGUUAUGGAAGACUUUAAACUAAUAAAAGAACUAACUUUUUCUUUAUUUUAUAACUUAUGGAUUUAAUUAUGGUUACAUAUUUUUCUUUAAUGAAGUGACUCUUGAACUUCCAUAACUUGAGGACAAGUUAUGGAGUCAAAAAAAAUUAUUCAAUGACACAAGACUCUUCAUUUUGUAACCAUUGCCAACUUUUAUGAGUUUUAUGAGUCUUUAAUGUGACUCUUCAUGUAACUUGAGGACAAGUUACACAAACACAUUUUAUACUCAACUCUUAGAUUAAAAUGGAUUGAAAACAACUAUUUCACUCAACUUUUCUAUUAAUCUAAGCAACUCAUAAGAACAAGAUAAUUCAAAUCAAACUUUUUCAUGUAAUUAGUCUAAACCUUAAACUAAUACAAAACAUGAAUCUAUUGACAAUUAUCUUUGAAAAUGGAUUAGCAUGAACAUUACCACAUCAAAAACAAGUUUAUAAGUUCAAAAACAACUUAGGGUAAUGUUCCUAGUCCAUUUCUAGCCAAAAAACUCGAAAAUAUGCUGUCUGGGGGUCCAACUCGUCGAGUGCAUGAACCAACUCGGCGAGUUGGAUCGAAUUGAUCACAUUUUAGGCAUGGACUCGCCGAGUCCUCUGAUGGACUCGCCGAGUCUGAUGAUCAGACAGCACCAAAUUCGUUUUUUCAGCUUCUAUUGCAGGUAUAACAAGAAAACAAGCCUAGGCUCUGAUACCACUGUUGGGUUUUGAGCAUUCUAACACUCCUAAGUGUACAUGCAACCCUAAAUACCUUGGAUCUAUGUUUUCUCUAUUAUACAUGCAAAUAAGAACUUCCAAGGUAUUAUCCUAAUCUAGCAUACAAAACAAUGAGUGUAACAAGAUAGAAUACAUACCUCUUUGAUGUAGAAAGUCUUCAUGAAGCUUGAGUGCCUAGCCCCAAUAGUGUGGAAGCCUCAAAUGGAAUCACAAUCACCAAAACACUUAGAAUAACUUGAGAGAAUUCUACAACUCAUGAAAUCGGCUAGCCCUUUUACUUCACACUCUAGUGGCCGAUUUUGGUCAAGAAUAAGAUGCUUAUAUAGUUAGGGUUACACCAUGUAAACCCUAAUUGACAUGGCCUUUCAUUUCCAUGAUCCAUGGGUACAAAUACACCAUGGAGCAUCCAUGGAGCAUCCUAUGGGUUUUAGCCCAACUUGAUUAUCCAUGGAGCAUUAUCCCACUAUACAAGUAUGGAUGAUUUACACAAUCAACCCAUAUAUUUAAUUAGUCUUCUUUUGAUCACUUAAUUAAUCCUAGAUUAAUUCUUGAUCAAUACUAAUUAAAUAAUCUUAUUAUUCUUAUUAUUAAUAUACUAGAACUUAUAAUAUAUUAAUAACCAUAAGUGUCUUAUUUCUCUCAUUAUAGUCUAUCCAAGUGCAUGAUGGUAUGCAACCCAAAUGGACCAUGCCGGGUCGGGUCAAGUCUUACCAAUUAUAGUUAUGGACUUAGACAUUAAUCCAACAAUAUAUUGCGGCUAUUAGGGUUGCACCAUGUAACUAAUGUCAUUCCAUAUUCUUCCGAUGCCAAGAAACCCAAAUGGACCAUGCCAAAUCGGGUCGAAUACAUACCAAUAAUAAUUUGGGCUUAGACAUCUAAUCCAACAGUCUCCCACUUGGAUAAGUCUAAAACUAUUAUUACGUACGAUUCCAAAACCCGACUAGCAAUCAUAUCUCUUCAAGGUGUUGAUGAACUUUGAACAAAUCAAUGACGUUGUCCAUUAGAUAAGGGAUCAUAUAGUCCUCCAUUCUAGAUAUCAUAUGGAUUGAGACAUGGAUUAUAAUCAUUCUCUCUGUCCAUCUAUUGUUUCCUAAUUUCCAAUUUAUGACGAUCGACUAAUUGAAAAAAUCAAAUUAGUCCAGGCGUGGCCAAGCAUUUCGGGGUGUCAUCACUAAAUCAUCGAGGGGCCCACAUAUAUCGCUUUUGUCCCUUUAAGGGUAAAAGUAAUGGAUAAACUUCGACUCAUAUGGUAGUUCUACUACUUGUUGAAUCAUACACAGAGGCACAUUUUAUAACAUCGAGUUACCAAUGCGUUUUCGUGUAAUCAAUGUAUAACCAAGUCAUAUUCAACAACUCAUAUCUCUAGGUUUGAAGAAUAUAAGAUAUUAUUGUCUCAUGAUUCACUUGUGAUAAAAUCCAUGAAGUGAUUCAAAUGAGCAUGGGUUGGAUCCAAUACUCAGAACUUAUGAGUACUCAUGAAUGUUGUAGCAACUCUUACUUUGUCUAACAUCUUAGACAUCUACAAACCCGAUUCAUGAUAGUCUUAAUUCAUACCUACUUCCAACAUAGGACUGACUGUGGAGAGUUUAAAUAACUUAGUCAUUCAGAAAGAAUAACCUAGUUAUUCGGGAAUUCAAAACAUGCAAAGUGAAACACAAAAUAAUGGUCUCAUAACUUAUGAAUAUAAAUAUGACAACUUUUAUUUAUCACCAUAUUGAUUACACAUUAUUCAUUGUAUACUGUUUCAAAUUAUCAACUUUAUACUUGAACUAAAACAAUUGUUGUCCCAUGCUUCAAGCAUGUACACUUUGUUUUUUUUUGUCUUUUUCCUGGACAUUAGUCGUGCCAUACACCAAGUAUGCACACUAUGUUUGUCUAUGAUCUUUACUUUGUGGAAUAGAUCAAUUGAACAUAAUUCCAAUGAUUCUCAUUUCACAAUCCCAAAUCCUUACCGCAAAUGCAAGAAUUCCAAAUUCCUACCAUUUACCAAAAUCUGUUAGAUUGUAAACUUAUAUGCACUGAUCCUCUUGUAAUGAUUAUGCACAAAGUCAUAAAGACUUGUCAACAGUCAUUACAGAGUAUUCCAAUGGAGUUCAACUCCAUGGAAAAGAAGUUUCAUAUUCAAAGUACAUUGCUUUAAACAUCCUUCUUGCAUUAAGUUUUCUAAUCUUACACAGAUUGAAUAACUUCCACCUAUGGAGACAUUUCCAUAUUCCCAUUUUGACUAUCACUUCUGAGAAGAGUUUCCUCCUUUUAGAAUAUGUCAAUGCGGUCCUUCCAAAAUUAAUACUAUACUUGCAACUGUCCCUGAGCAACCAAUCUUUGGUAAACCUUAGAUUGUCCUUGACAAUUGCUUAAUCAAAUUAGUCAUAUCUAGUUCUAGUACUUUUCCCUCUUGAUGCUCUAGGCUUUUUUGAAAACUUUAGAACACAUGAAUAUUAUAGCACAUGCAAUUGAUCCUAUAUCCGAAGCAUAUGAGACACGAUUCAUGAUGUCUCACAUAUAGACAUAAAACUAGACCAGUCUUUUGCUAAAAUAUUCCUUUUUCUAUUUGCCAUGUUCUCAUAAUUCAAAUUAUGAAAAGGGAUGUCGUCAUCAUAAUCGAAUUUUAGAACGCAAAUAAUGUACCCAUAUAUAGAAUUUCCUUAUGUUGAGCCAUUCCAACAUAAAAUUUAUAUACAUAUAUAUANNNNNNNNNNNNNNNNNNNNNNNNNNNNNNNNNNNCCUGACUAAAGAUGAUUAAAACCUCAAUCUAAGCUUUUAGACUUGAAAUGAAGUAUAAUUUCCUCUCCCUUAAUUAUAGCGAAACAACUUUUCCCAAUUAAAACUUUUGUUUUCUAUAAUUAACAUUGCUAACUUGCAACACUUAUCAUAAUCAUCAUGCUCCCACUAACAUGAUGAUUAUCAGCAUAACACUUAUGCUCCUACUAGCUUUGACAUGUACUCAGAAAUCAAUUGCACUUUUAGAAAUCAACACUUUGUUGACUUUCUUACCAAAGUUCAGACUUCCGAUACGAGAUGCUUUGAUAAAACUUUAUCAAAAUCAUACACCUUUCCUUAGAGAGCACACAUGUGUGUCUAAACAAUUUUACAACUAUGAAAAGGGAUGCCGUAAUCAUAGUCUCAGUUGUUUAGACCUUUCCCAUUCCUCACAAGUCCAUGUUAGUGUGCCGGUUAAGCACACACGCUCCACUAACAACUUUGAGAAUGCAAAUAUCACAAUUUCUAUCUACUUAAAACCUACUUAGUGAAAGCAUUUCCUCACCAUCAUUUUCAUGAAUCAGAGAUAAACCUUAUGACACUUAGAUUUUAUGGUGUAUGUGCUCCUAUCCAUGUGAAUUUAUCAAAACCAUAAUCACAAGACAAGGUUAUUGACAAAUCCAAACUCAUGUGGAGCGAACUCGUGCAAUCUUAACUUCUUUCCACUUGGCAACACAAGGCCUACCAUUGCUUCCAGGUUGUUAUGUAAACAAUUGAGAACUUUUAGAACUUAGAUGCAUAGACAACUUUAACCAGAAUAGGCACAUAAAUAAGAAUAUGUGACCACGAUAGGCUAUAAACCUCAUGUCGUAUGCUAGUGAUAAACAAGAGGUUUUCUUCUUGAUUAGUUCUUGAAACUCUUUCAGGAUCUUUAAGACUCCCACUGUCCUCUUGACAUAUAAGACUCCAAAUAUUCAAGAGAUAGUGCGGAUUCUUAUCAUGACAAACACUUCACAGAAUUGGCCUAAGCUGGUCUCUGUUUUAUCCAAUACAUCACAACUUACCAAUUUCUAAUUUACAAGAGUAGGACACAUUUUACUCUUACAUUUGACGAAUGUUAAUAAAUCUUCUUUAAGAUGUGUCACUCAAAUUAAAAUCUUGGAGUAUGACUCUAAGACUUGUUUUGGAAAGAAGUAUGACUUAUCUUCUUGAUUUAACCAUUUCAACAAUUCACGAUUCAUCUUCUUAGCCAUAGGAAUGCACUAAGAUGUCCUUAGAGGACCAAUUAUGAUAGGGUUUCUUAAUCAUUAAGAUUAUCACAAAACAUGAUACUAAAACACUCUCCCAUCUUUUCAGAUUUGAGAAACUUAUAUCUUUCUGUCUAAUUUGAUUCUUCUUAUUCGUUCUACCAUACAUCGAAACUUUUCAAAUGUUUUAGAAUUAUAUGUGUACUCAAUCCCUUAGUCCUUCACUUGACUCACAUAUACAUGUGAAUAAGGAAUUAGUCUUAAUUUUUGAAAGAUGAAAAUUCUCAUUCAUCAUACUAUACAACUUGCAUGAUUCCAAGUUUCGGUCCAAUUGAAAACUUGGGUGAUGAGAAUAUUUCCUUAUUUGGUAAAUUUAGACAUUACCACAAAUGUAAUAAUCAAAUUCAUAUUUCCAAUAUUGCUAGAAACAUACAAACAUCAAUUUUCCAUAAAUGUCAUUGCAAGGAGAUAUAAAAUAAAAUAAAACAAAAUUUUUAUUUAUUUAUAAAAUAUGGAAAAACUUUACCUUACAAGGCAACUUUAAAUGAAAACUAUGCUAUUACAUAUUUCCUAGCAAUCUAUCAUAACUCCUAAGUAGUAGCUCAAGAAUCCGAUCUUCGAAACAUGCGAUUGAAAUCCAUCUUCGCGAUCAGAUUCAACAUACUCUUCUUUUAAGCUUCCUUCCCUUUGUUUGAUCCUGCCAUACAUCAAAAUGUAUUAAGAAUGUUCAAAUAGGAACUUCAGAGAGUUAGAUAGUGGAUUUACCUGAAGUAGAGUCCAACUUUUUGACUUGACCUUCUUAUGAUCUUUCAGGUAAAUUUGGCAGCUUUGCAACCCAUGCCCCUUCCUUUGGCAAUAGAAACAUAUGGUCCCUAUAGGAAUGGUACACGUGACAAUCUCAAACUUAGCCUUUCUCUUUACCAUUUGGUCAACCGAGUUGACUAUGGCCGAUCCCUUUCCAUUGGGAAGAGAAAGCUUUUCUGGAUAUCUAAUGUUACCAUUGACAAUGUCCAUGGAAGUUUGGGAAGUUGAUCUUAUAAUCAAAUUUGCUUUACUAGUCCUCUAAAUCAUUGUUGAUUCAGAAGCACCGAGCAAAUAGAUAAGAUCAUUAAGGGUCAUAUCAUAGUCUGUUCCAUAGUAGUGCCAAAGGAACUCACUAUGUGACAUAGAACGUGAUUGAACAUCCAACUUUCUCAAGACUUUGACACCCAACUCUCCCGUCUUGUCAAUAUGUGACCUCUUCACCAAGAUGUGAUCACACAUAGACCUUGCUUGCCAAUAGGUCUUGAGUGACCUUGAACUAUUAAUGAACUUGUGGGUUAAGGAGAAUAAUUGGAGUAUGAAGAGAAGUAUGAUUUUCAUUAUCCAACCAAGGAACAUCAUCUUUAUUAGGAAAGCUUGUUCCAAGGGAUUUGGAAUCAUCAUAGAUGUCUAAACCAGACAUCUUAUGGGAGAAAUUCAAGUUUGUUGAUUUAAGUCCUUAAUAUAACACCCAAUAUGAAAUAUUAAGGCUAGGACCCAGCACAAUAUUUUAUAACUUGGAAGAGGGAUGCCGUAUUCCAAGCUAUAAAAUAUUUGAAGUUAGGCAAAUGACGAUUCACCAAUUUCCACCAUGAAAAACGAAAUAAUUUAUUAGCUUUUAAUUGGAUUUGUAACUCCUAGAUCUUUUGAGAUUCAUUGAAAUUUUCGAUGGCAUGUUUCAAUCUCGAUUGUGCCCUCUCAAGUUUUGUGACUGGGAUGCUGAGGAUCACAAAAAAAUGUGUGAAUAACCAUGCAAAUAUACUUGGUACCCUCAAUAUUUAUCACUCAAUCGAUGUGCCGGUUAACCACACGCGCUCCACCGAUACUAUAAUAAACAUUAAGUUACACUUUGCCUACCUUGUUAAAUCAAGCUAGUGUGUCGGUUAACCACACACUCUCCAAUGCCGACUUAAGCAAAGUGCAAAGUGUAAUUUCAUGGGUUAGCACCAAAUUCACAUUUUCCUAAGUAACUAAGAUUAGGAAUUCAUAUGUGUUUAGUUACUUAGUAUUUAUCAUUAAUACUUUUAAUGAAGGGAGAAUUAUAGUCCUGUCAAACCCGUUC
rnacentral:lncRNA from 1 species